rnacentral:lncRNA from 1 species
GGAGCAUAAGCUCACGUGGAUUACCUGUAGGGUCUCCAUCAGGAAGCCCUAGGUGCCGGCAAGAAGGGUAGUGGAAAGACGUGACCUGCCCUCAAGCAGCUCAGCCUCACGGGGAAAAGAAAUGUGUAAAGAGCUGAACUUAGGGUCAUGGAUGUUGUAUGGACAAGGAGUUUGAAAAACUUGGCUGGAGGGGAGGACUUUGCAUUGUAAUGUCCCAUCUCUUCCUCGUACCCUACCUCUGCUUUCUGAGAUAGAUAAACAAAUGGAUGAUAGAUAAAUAGAUAGAUAGAUAGAUGAUAGAUAGAUAGUAGAUAGAUAUCAGAAGAUAGGUCUGCUAUCUAUCGGUUUUUUUGUGGGACCCCACACAAAAUAGUUGUGGGGAAAAUGUUACCUCUUUAAAUAAUGGGAUGCCUUCAACAAGGCAAAGGUUUUAUUUAUUUUCUCCACCACAGUGCACACACUGGAAGGUUGCCUUUAUUAUAUCCAUUUCUGUAUUCGUACCAGCACCUCGCAAAAUAAUUGUCUCAGCAGACUCCCUUGGGCAAUACUUCACAGACAUGACUGUGCACGCCAGUCACCCAGAGAUCAUGUUAAAAUGCACAUCUGGUUCAGCAGGCCUAGGUUUCUGUAUGUUAUAGAAGUUCAAAGAAGACAAACUCUAGCCAAGAGCAGUGUGAAGAAAAGAAGACGCUAUAUUAAUCACAGUCCAGGGAUGCCUUCUGGCUUCCUGGCAGCAAUUCCGGCCUGAGAUUCCUUCUCUGUGCAUACUUCCUGUCAACAUUGUGUGAUGUCAAGCUGUGGCCGUCACAAAAGUACUGUGAACACCUGUAAAUCCCAACUAUCAAAAAUCACACCCAGGAAUCCAAAUUAGCAUUAUUAUGUCAAAAGAAAAACCUGAUUUCUUCA